UAAGAGAGAUACAAGGAGAAUUGUGUCUAUUUUGCCAGGAAAUUUUACUCAGACUCCAUAAGGAAUUCAUGUGGGGUAUUUGUUGCUGCUAUUCUGACCGUCAGUUCAAAUGGAGAAAAAAAGAAUUUCAAUCAUAAAAUAUUGUCUGAUAUAUGGAAAAUAUGGAGGAACCAAAUGGUGGAAAACAGUGGACUGUAGACGGUAAGGGUUAUUAUCCUGGAAUAAUGGAACAGCCUCUUGCCUUAAACCCUGGAAAGUCCUACAUGACAAAAGUUUUACAUUUCAAUUACGAGCUUCACUUACCGUAGGAAGUAAACAUUUGAAUAUCAAAUUUCUGUGGUGUGUUUCCAAGUGUUGUUGAAACUUCUUGAAAAUCACUAUGUUAGAAAUAUUUACUGUCUAAAAUAAGAAUAUCAAGACUAAAUGACAAUUCUUUUUCUUCUUUUCUUUUUUAGAUUUUGAGGGAAACCACACGAUGCCUAUAUGACUUUGUGGCAUGCUUCAGGGAAGUUCAAUUAUCAGAUGUUUUCGCUGCUUGAUUAUCUGCCUAUCAGUGCAAUAUGUUGUUACGGUACCUUGCUGCAUAUCAUGGUAGUUUGCUGUCAGACUGGCCUAAAGAAUGCCAAAGCAUUUUCUUUCAUGGUACAUUACAAUAAUUUUGCUCUUUAAAUGAUCAGACCAUUUAGAAUCUUCAUAAUACCUUUUUUACUUAAAAGUAAGGAAAUAGACUAUGUAAAUAAAGCAUCAGCAUUUCCAAUGAAA